AUUGAACGCUGGCGGCAGGCUUAACACAUGCAAGUCGAGCGGGGUGAUGGUGCUUGCACUAUCACUUAGCGGCGGACGGGUGAGUAAUGCUUAGGAAUCUGCCUAUUAGUGGGGGGCAACAUCUCGAAAGGGAUGCUAAUACCGCAUACGUCCUACGGGAGAAAGCAGGGGAUCACUUGUGACCUUGCGCUAAUAGAUGAGCCUAAGUCGGAUUAGCUAGUUGGUGGGGUAAAGGCCUACCAAGGCGACGAUCUGUAGCGGGUCUGAGAGGAUGAUCCGCCACACUGGGACUGGGACACGGCCCAGACUCCUACGGGAGGCAGCAGUGGGGAAUAUUGGAAAAUGGGGGGAACCCUGAUCCAGCCGUGCCGCGUGUGUGAAGAAGGCCUUAUGGUUGUAAAGCACUUUAAGCGAGGAGGAGGCUCUUUUGGUUAAUACCCAAGAUGAGUGGACGUUACUCGCAGAAUAAGCACCGGCUAACUCUGUGCCAGCCGCCGCCGUAA
rnacentral:rRNA from 1 species